UUUUAAAAAUAUAAUCCAAAUGUAUUGUUAAAAACUGGGAUGGUUAGCGGAAUAACCAUACAAUGACAUGUGGUGUGUCAAGUGUACCUCAUGCUGACGUACAAGGACAAUUUUAAUAGUAGAAAUGGAUGAAUUUUUUAUCA
rnacentral:pre_miRNA from 1 species